rnacentral:rRNA from 1 species
UACGUAGGGUCCGAGCGUUGUCCGGAAUUAUUGGGCGUAAAGGGCGCGUAGGCGGCCGGUCAAGUCGGGGGUGAAAGCCUGUGGCUCAACCACAGAAUGGCCUCGAUACUGGACGGCUCGAGACCGGGAAGAGGUGAGUGGAACUGCGAGUGUAGAGGUGAAAUUCGUAGAUAUUCGCAAGAACACCAGUGGCGAAGGCGGCUCACUGGUCCGGUUCUGACGCUGAGGCGCGAAAGCGUGGGGAGCAAACAGG